rnacentral:tRNA from 1 species
GGGCGAUUAGCUCAGUUGGGAGAGCGCCAUGUUUACACCGUGGAUGUCGGGAGUUCGAGCCUCUCAUCGCCCACCA